CUCAAGUGGUGGUCAGAAAUAGCAAAUGCAGCAGAUGAAAGGUGAAAAGAGGUAGUAUUGUGACUCCUUGUAUUUUGACUGUAGAAAUGGUUGAGCUGUACAAACAGGAAGACAUUAGCCUGUGUCUGAGGAUGAAUUUGAAAAUAAUUACUUCUGCCAUAAAUCUUGCAGUCCAUAUGGAUAACAUACAAUACUGGCACUGAUAUCUACAGGUCCAUCUGCACAGAGCCUCAUUUUACUGCAUAAGCUUUCAGAUCCUUACAGACAGACAUUCAGAUAUAAUUCCAGGAUCUUUUCCACCAUUGGAAUUAUCACAUUUGAUUUCUUAAUGUGUCUCCUACAAUGCUACUGACAGAAACUGGUGAAGGACUCUACUGAAUCAAAAAAAGACUACAAUUUGCUGAACUUGAUGAUCUGAGGCCAUGAAAUACUACAGCUCUUUGUCAGCAAGUUAUAAGUGAAUUUUCAGCACUUGAUGACAGAUCAUCAACUGGCAGAGAACCACCC
ensembl:lncRNA